AGAAACUAGAGGCAGUGGAAGAUGCAGUCCAUAACACCACUUCGGAAAAUGCUAACACAGGGGCCAGGAAAGAAAGUACGGAGGAAGAAGAGAAGGCGGAUGGAUGGAUCACACCAAUAAAAACAAAAGAAAUUUUCACAGAAGUGGCUAAAAAAAGAAUUGCUCUCAUGAUUUGGCAAAGUGAGAUGUGGUUUUCACCAUUUGUCUUUUGAAUGGUUUUUAGACCAAAAUACCCUUAAUAGAAUCAACCAAACUCCACAGCAGUUGGUUUCGGUUUAGUUUCUAUGGUUCAGUUUUAAAAAAAAA
rnacentral:sRNA from 1 species